CUGGUUGCUGUGAGACCGAAAACGGAUCCCGCGGUGGGGAGGCAGACCUUUCUUUCCCUUCGUUCUCGGAGCCAGCCGGCUGCUCCACACGUCAGCGUUUGGCCCCCAACAACAGCGCCCGCUGGGCUCCCCUCAGCAGCAGCGGCAGCUCCUCUUCCGCUUCCUCCCCCCCCAUAUUCCCUGCGCAACCCGCGAAAGGGGGGCCGCUCCCUGCAGCUCCGCCUGCUGGUUGACUGAGGAAGGCGACUGGGCUGCCCUGAAGAGGCGGGCGGUUUGCGGAGACGCGGAGGGACGGCGCGCCCUGCCAUCGGGCUGCGGGGAAGGCGGGAGCUCAGCGCUCCGCUUCUCUCCUUGGAGAACAACCGAGCGAGAAGCAGUGCUCGCCCGAAGCCAACGGCCUGGAGGGUGCUGCAGUCUUGAAAUGCAUCAGAUGCAGCAUGAAGGAUGCUGUACUUCCAUCUUCUUGGACGAAGAAUGAAUAAAAAGAUAUAGGAUGAGGACUACAGUACUUAUGAAGAGCAGCUUGGAAUUUUUGAUGAGCACAAGCUGAAUAUGAAUCAACAGUGUGGCCCAGCUGCUGAAAAGGCAAAAGUGUUUUUAGGUUGCAUCAAGAGAAGCAUGAUUUCCAAAUCACAGGAAUUACCAUAUUUUUCCGACUA